UACGUAGGGUCCGAGCGUUGUCCGGAGUUACUGGGCGUAAAGCGCGCGCAGGUGGUCCAUUAAGCCCGGCGUGAAAGCCCCCCGGCUCAACCGGGGGAGGGUCGUCGGGGACUGGUGGACUUGAGGGCGGCAGGGGCUGGUGGAAUCCCCCGGUGUAGUGGUGAAAUGCGUAGAGAUCGGGGGGGAACACCCGUGGCGAAGGCGGCCAGCUGGGCCGACCCUGACACUGAGGCGCGAAGGCGUGGGGAGCGAACGGG
rnacentral:rRNA from 1 species